GGUUGUGUAGUGUAGUGGUUAUCACUUCAGAUUUUGAUUUCUAUCAAUCAUAUUCUGAUAACCCCGGUUCGAACCCGGGCACGACCU